GUUACUAUGGUUCAGGGGCAGAGUAUCUGCUUUGCACUCAAAAGGACCAAGGUUCAAUUCCUAGCAUCUCCA
rnacentral:tRNA from 1 species